UACGAAGGGGGCUAGCGUUGUUCGGAAUUACUGGGCGUAAAGGGCGCGCAGGCGGUCGCUCAAGUCAGGCGUGAAAGCCCCGGGCUCAACCUGGGAAUAGCGCUUGAGACUGAGCGACUUGAGUUCGGGAGAGGAGAGCGGAAUUCCCAGUGUAGAGGUGAAAUUCGUAGAUAUUCGCAAGAACACCAGUGGCGAAGGCGACUACCUGGCCUGUUCUUGACGCUGAGGCGCGAAAGCUAGGGGAGCAAACGGG
rnacentral:rRNA from 1 species